UUGCAGUUAAAAAGCUCGUAGUUGGAUUUCUGGUCUGGGCGUCCGGUCCGCCGCUGUGCGGUGUGUACUUGGUUCGACCCGGGCCUUCCUUGUGGGGAAUGUAUCUGGGCUUAAUUGGUCGGAUAUUGGAACCACAUCGUUUACUGUGAAAAAAUUAGAGUGUUUAAAGCAGGCAUUUGCUGUGAAUACAUUAGCAUGGAAUAAUAAGAUAGGACUUUGGUUCUAUUUUGUUGGUUGGAGGCCAAGGUAAUGAUUAAUAGGGAUAGUUGGGGGUAUUCAUAUUUAAUUGUCAGAGGUGAAAUUCUUGGAUUUAUGAAAGAUGAACUUAUGCGAAAGCAUUUACCAAGGAUGUUUUCAUUAAUCAAGAACCGAAAGUUAGGGGAUCGAAGAGGAUUAGAUACCCCUCGUAGUCUUAACCCAUAAACUAUGCCGACUCGGGAUUGGAGGGUGUAUAUCCAUGACCCCU
rnacentral:rRNA from 1 species